UACGGAGGGUGCAAGCGUUGUCCGGAAUCACUGGGCGUAAAGGGCGCGUAGGCGGCUCAUGAAGGCUGUGGUGAAAGUCCGGGGCUCAACCUCGGAUCGGCCGUGGCGACUCGUGGGCUGGAGCACUGUAGAGGCGGGUGGAAUUCCGGGUGUAGCGGUGGAAUGCGUAGAGAUCCGGAAGAACACCGGUGGCGAAGGCGGCUCUCUGGACCGACACUGACGCUGAGGCGCGAAAGCGUGGGGAGCAAACAGG
rnacentral:rRNA from 1 species